rnacentral:rRNA from 1 species
GACGAACGCUGGCGGCGUGCUUAACACAUGCAAGUCGAACGGAAAGGCCCUGCUUUUGUGGGGUGCUCGAGUGGCGAACGGGUGAGUAACACGUGAGUAACCUGCCCUUGACUUUGGGAUAACUUCAGGAAACUGGGGCUAAUACCGGAUAGGAGCUCCUGCUGCAUGGUGGGGGUUGGAAAGUUUCGGCGGUUGGGGAUGGACUCGCGGCUUAUCAGCUUGUUGGUGGGGUAGUGGCUUACCAAGGCUUUGACGGGUAGCCGGCCUGGGAGGGUGACCGGCCACAUGGGGACUGAGAUACGGCCCAGACGGCUACGGGAGGCAGCAGGGGGGAAUAUUGCACAAUGGGCGGAAGCCUGAUGAAGAAACGCCGCGUGCGGGAUGACGGCCUUCGGGUUGUGAACCGCUUUCGCCUGUGACGAAGCGUGAGUGACGGUAAUGGGUAAAGAAGCACCGGCUAACUACGUG